GCCUGGGUGGCUCAGUCGGUUAAGCGUCCGACUUCAGCUCGGAAGUCAUGGCUUGUGGGUUCGAGCCCCGCGUCGGGCU
rnacentral:tRNA from 1 species